GACGAACGCUGGCGGCGUGCUUAACACAUGCAAGUCGAACGGAAAGGCCCUGCUUUUGUGUGGUGCUCGAGUGGCGAACGGGUGAGUAACACGUGAGUAACCUGCCCUUGACUUUGUGAUAACUUCAGGAAACUGGGGCUAAUACCGGAUAGGAGCUCCUGCUGCAUGGUGGGGGUUGGAAAGUUUCGGCGGUUGGGGAUGGACUCGCGGCGUAUCAGCUUGUUGGUGGGGUAGUGGCUUACCAAGGCUUUGACGGGUAGCCGGCCUGAGAGGGUGACCGGCCACAUUGGGACUGAGAUACGGCCCAGACUACUACGGGAGGCAGCAGUGAGGAAUAUUGCACAAUGGGCGGAAGCCUGAUGCAGCAACGCCGCGUGCGGGAUGACGGCCUUCGGGUUGUAAACCGCUUUCGCCUGUGACGAAGCGUGAGUGACGGUAAUGGGUAAAGAAGCACCGGCUAACUACGUG
rnacentral:rRNA from 1 species